AUUGAACGCUGGCGGCAUGCCUUACACAUGCAAGUCGAACGGUAACAGAUCUUCGGAUGCUGACGAGUGGCGAACGGGUGAGUAAUACAUCGGAACGUGCCCGAUCGUGGGGGAUAACGAAGCGAAAGCUUUGCUAAUACCGCAUACGAUCUACGGAUGAAAGCAGGGGACCGCAAGGCCUUGCGCGAACGGAGCGGCCGAUGGCAGAUUAGGUAGUUGGUGGGAUAAAAGCUUACCAAGCCGACGAUCUGUAGCUGGUCUGAGAGGACGACCAGCCACGCUGGGACUGGGACACGGCCCAGACUCCUACGGGAGGCAGCAGUGGGGAAUUUUGGACAAUGGGCGAAAGCCUGAUCCAGCCAUGCCGCGUGAAGGAUGAAGGCCUUCGGGUUGUAAACUGCUUUUGUACGGAACGAAAAGACUCUGGUUAAUACCUGGGGUCCAUGACGGUACCGUAAGAAUAAGCACCGGCUAACUACGUGCCAGCCGCCGCGGUAA
rnacentral:rRNA from 1 species